rnacentral:rRNA from 1 species
GUAGUUAGCCGGUGCUUCUUCUGUGAGUGAUGUCCUUCCUGCCGGCUAUUAACCCGCAGGCCUUCUUCCUCACUGAAAGUGCUUUACAACCCGAAGGCCUUCUUCACACACGCGGCAUGGCUGGAUCAGGGUUGCCCCCAUUGUCCAAUAUUCCCCACUGCUGCCUCCCGUAGGAGUCUGGGCCGUGUCUCAGUCCCAGUGUGGCUGAUCAUCCUCUCAGACCAGCUACGGAUCGUCGCCUUGGUGAGCCGUUACCUCACCAACCAGCUAAUCCGACAUAGGCUCAUCCGAUAGCGCGAGGCCCGAAGGUCCCCCGCUUUCCCCCGUAGGGCGUAUGCGGUAUUAGCCUGGGUUUCCCCAGGUUAUCCCCCACUACCGGGCAGAUUCCUAUGCAUUACUCACCCGUCCGCCGCUCGCCACCAGGGAGCAAGCUCCCCGUGCUGCCGCUCGACUUGCAUGUGUUAGGCCUCGCCGCCACGCGUCAUCUGAGCCAUGAUACAACUACUGA